CGUGGCACCAAUGGAGCAUGCGCCAUCGUUCUACCACUACCCAAAUCAGAUUGCCGUUCCGCUUGUCUUAACAUUGCCGGAGGAACGCACAACGACACCCGACUACUGGAUGCUCCAGCCAUCGUGGGAUUCCGCAUCGAAAGGGACACUGUCAAGUCCGCCAACUAUAAAGGAGCAGCGACCAUCGCGACCGCUUUGUGGGCUCGGUGGCUGCGCCACAACGCUGACUUCUAACACGCUUGUUUUCGCCGUGCAGGUUAGUGCUAAAUACAGCCUUUUUAAUAAGAAAUCUAGCGAUUAUUGUUUGGUGCAGCUCCCGAGCCCCCAGUGCUGCCUUGCUCUGUUUGGUGAAUGUGUGCAUGUCAUGCAGUCUUUGCUGUUGCUAACUGAUCUGCAAUAUUUGUCAGGGGAUGUGGAAACCAAUCCAGGGCCUAGUAUGAACGAUGUUCUCGCUGAGCUACAGAAGCUGACAGCCGGGCAAAGCAGACUAAUCACUGAGGUGCAAAGCCUAAAGAAUCAAGUUAUGAGCACCGAUAAAACACUGACGGAUCUAAGUAAGCGAAUGACGGAACUUGAGCAACACUACCAGGCACUCAUGCCCUUACGAAACGAAUUAGAAGCAGUGCAUGCUGCUACUGGCGAAACUGGUCGCCUGGUGUGUAACCUCGAGAGCCGCAUAGACGACGCUGACAACCGGUCUCGUAGAAAUAACUUAAUAUUGUAUGGCAUUCCUGAUUCCAACCCUUCUAAAACGUUUACGCAGUCCGAAAAAUUAUUCAUUGAUAACAUUCGUGAGCACAUGCACAUAAGCCUUGAUGACAAGGAAAUUGAGCGUGCCCACCGGCUGGGACGGUACUCACCUGGCCGUAACCGCCCCAUCACAGUGAAAUUUGCGCUCUACAAAACUAAAGAAUUAGUCCUGGCUGGCGGUCGCAAGUUAAAGGGGACUAAUUGCGCAAUUGGCGAAGAUUUUUUACCAGCCGUUCGACAUGCCCGCAAGCAUCUUACUGCUUUCGGCAAAAGUAAAGGAACGCCCAUCAAACUACGUUUCAAGACACUUGUCAUAGGAUCGAAACGCUAUUAAUAUGAUGAAUCAUCCAAUACCGUUAAACAGAGUCAUUGCGUCGACUGA